rnacentral:rRNA from 1 species
CCUACGGGGAGCAGCAGUGGGGAAUAUUGGGCAAUGGGCGCAAGCCUGACCCAGCAAUGCCGCGUGAAGGAAGAAGGCUUUCGGGUUGUAAACUUCUUUGACAGGGGAAGAGCAGAAGACGGUACCCUGAAAACAAGCCACGGCUAACUACGUGCCAGCAGCCGCGGUAAUACGUAGGUGGCAAGCGUUGUCCGGAUUUACUGGGUGUAAAGGGCGUGUAGCCGGGAAGGCAAGUCAGAUGUGAAAUCUGGAGGCUCAACCUCCAAAUUGCAUUUGAAACUGUUUUUCUUGAGUACUGGAGAGGCAGACGGAAUUCCUUGUGUAGCGGUGAAAUGCGUAGAUAUAAGGAGGAACACCAGUGGCGAAGGCGGUCUGCUGGACAGCAACUGACGGUGAGGCGCGAAAGCGUGGGGAGCAAACAGGAUUGGAUACCCCGGUAGUC